UAGUUUCCAAGGCAACUAAGUAACCGGAAACGGAAGUUCAUCCAAGGGGCGGCGGUUAGCUCUGAGAAACAACCAACCAAAUUGGUGUGGGCAGUAGGCUUCUCACUUCAAUGUGUCAACUGCAGCUUCAAACAGACGGACAAUAGCCAGUGGGGUUGUGUAUCCCCUAGUUCCUGGUAUAACAAGGAAAAGGCUGAAGUAAGUGUACAGUCACUCCUACUACAUAACAGCUGACUUUACUUACUUUCAUCCUGCCCUCAUCAGAGAAUUAGCAGCCAUGUGACUUCUUAGACAUCAUCACACAAGGGACAUUCAUGCAAUCAAUAAGAAGGAAGGAACAAAUCACACCCAUUUCAUGUGUGUGGAGUGAGUCUUUGGUCCACCAACGAUCUCCACAGAAAGCAGACUUCAGCAAUGCACAACGGAUGCAGGGAGAGCUUUGGGCUGCAGAAUUCUACCUCCAGACAACCUUCCAUAACUCUGAGAAUCUUUCGUCAGUUUAAAAAACGAGGCCCCAGGAUUCCUCUCUCACAAUCAGACAGAACUGGCCAAAGUCAAUGAGCAAAAUUGUCACCAUUUAAAUGGUAGAAGCCUGCAAAGUUACCCCAAACCGAGAGGCCCAUCAGCAGCCAGCUAGGAUGGACUCCUGUCCUGCUGUGUACUGGUAGGUACCCUCGGCUGGCUGCCCAGUUGCUCUCACCCACCAGAAUCUCCAGCUGUGUUGUAGCUUGUGCACGGAUGAGAUAAUGCUCACUAGUAUGAAUAAAUACAAUUUCUGAAAAAAAAAUACAUCUCAUACAAAAGUGGGAUGGACUCAUCUCAGCUGUUCAUGCCUAAAGACCUGAGGAAGAAGACAAUCUUGUCUGAGUUUCAGUUUGAAGAAGUUUCAUCUUUCAAAUGCCUUCUGCCAGCAAGAACCAACAGUGGUCAAUAAAGAUCGGCAAGUUCCCUCUUUCUGUGCUUCAGAAAAGCCAACUACAGAGAUCGGCACAUGACUCAGGUUCGUGAGAAGGAAACUGCUUUGCAGGGGCUUUAAAAAUACCGUCAAGUCCUAGAUUUCCAACCUCUAAGCUCCAGGGUUUGACACCAAGCAGGCUACCACCCUCUCUCGCACUUCCCCAUAGCCAUGGAGGAACAGAGCCGGGGACAUUAGUCAGCAGUUUCUGAAUCUUGACCCACAAUGGGAAAGAUACCCGAGCCAGGGGAAAUAGAUGGAGGCAAUUACAAACAGCUACUUGAUUGAUGGUUGACAUUGUCAGGCCUCCACUGUCUGGCAAAUUGCAAUGGUGUUGAACUCCCUUUGCUACCAGUGGAUGUUGCUAUUGGCAACCGUGCAGUAAAGCCAAUAAAAAGGCAAGAAGAGGAGAGGAAAACUCAACCUUUGUGGAAGCCGUAGGGUCUGUGCUAUAAAUUAUGUGCCCCUCAGCACUAUGUAGUAUCGACAUUCAGGGUGGAGGGGACCUGUCUCAUUGCUGCCUGCAGUCUCUGGAAGACCCUAGGUUCGGUAUUAUCAUAAAGCACACGUUUGAAAUUCUUGGCUGCAGAUGGACUGGUAUCCGUUUUUCUGCCUAUUUAUUUAUUUAUUGUUUGGAAGGGUACCAGAUGUGUGCUCACUGCAACCUCAUAUGGACUGACUCUCGAUUCCCAUCUUAGAUAUAAACGUGAUGAGGUGAUGUGGUGCAGUACCGGAAGGCACCUGGGCUGCAGACCAGAUGAUCAUGCAGACGGCCCAGCCCCACCCCAACCCUGUCUAUUCCUAGCUCCGCCUCUCCUUUGUUCCUCACCUGAAGGAGGGGAGACAGCUCUGCAGAAGCUAUUUUCCUUUAUAGCAGAGUGAUUCAGAAAACCGGCUUAAUAAAAUCCAUAAAUCUGAA
rnacentral:sRNA from 1 species